UCUUUAAAAGUGAUAAAAUGCUAUUGGUUGGAAAUUGAUAAAUUAAUAAAAAAUGAUUGAUUCUAAUUGCGCGAAAAUAUGUUGCUCUAAAGACCCAAACCGAAAAGAAUGCCUAAAGUGGUUUUCAAAAGAUGAAUUGACGAAUUUCUUAAUUCUUUUUGUUUCGUUGUGAUAAUUUGUCGUAUGAGAACGCUAACGAGAAAAAACUUUUUAAA